UACGAAGGUCCCAAGCGUUAUCCGGAUUUAUUGGGUUUAAAGGGUGCGUAGGCGGUCUAUUAAGUCAGUGGUGAAAGCCCCAAGCUCAACUUGGGAACUGCCAUUGAUACUGAUGGACUUGAGUACAUUUGAGGUGGGCGGAAUAUGUCAUGUAGCGGUGAAAUGCUUAGAUAUGACAUAGAACACCAAUUGCGAAGGCAGCUAUCUACAGGAACAUUGACACUGAGGCACGAAAGCGUGGGGAUCAAACAGG
rnacentral:rRNA from 1 species